AGGAAUUUCCAUACCCAUAUCGUCGUAUGCCACGCAGGGGAUCCUUCUAUACUACAGAAAAACUCGUCACUGGUGUUUCCGUUUAAUAACAGUGAACUUGACCCCUGACCUCUGGACCUAAAAAGCAAUCACAUGCAAGCAAUUGUGGUAAGGAAGAUCUGCAUGAAGUUUGACCCAAGCAUUUUGCCAAAGGAACUCGAGAUAUCGCACGGAAAUCUCUGUGCGGACGACGUCGCCGCCGACGCCGAGAUAGUGAUACCAAAAUUUCGCUUGCUUAUUGCAGGUAACACACACACACAAAAGGAUUUGAUGCAACUUUCUCUACAAUAAGUUAUCUUGGUUUUCUUUGCUGACAGCGUUCAACUUUGAGGCUGAACAUGCAGAGAGUAUAUCAGUAAGCCAUGUUUCAGAUGGCCAAACUCUACCAUAGUGCAUGUAAUCUAGGUAUUUAACAGCUGAAGUUGGUUAGAAGACACUUUUUUCCCUACAUCGUAUCUAGCUAAUGUGGAAAUCUGGACUAGCUUGCAUGAGCAUCAAACUAUGGCUGUCGGAAAUGUGGGUCCAAUGCCUCUGAAAUGUCAACGUAAUUUAUGUAUUUAUACAUUUAUGUUUCAAAAUCUUGACUGAAAACAAUAGCUGUAUCAAUACAGACACAGGACAAUAGCUGUAUCAAUACAGACACAGGAACUUAAAACAAAUUCUCAACCUUAAAUGAUAUGAGAACCAUUGGUUUGGAAGGCGUGUCCAGUCCUUGCGAAUACGUGUACAUACUACCACGAUAUCAUGCAUGGUAGCGAUAUACCCUACGCUGGUUCGGGAAAGAAAUCUGUAUCCCACUUCAUGAAAUGACAACAAAAUCACUAGGCUUUCAGAAAGUUAAGGUUUAUUAUUUGCUUAAAUAUGAGAAUACUUACUCGAACUUUCUCAGACGAGCAUACCGUAUCUCACGUUUUCUCAGACGAGCAUACCGUAUCUCACGUUUUCUCACUCGAACAUACCGUAUCUCACGUUUUCUCACUCGAACAUACCGUAUCUCACGUUUUCGCACUCGAACAUACCGUAUCUCACGUUUUCUCACUCGAACCGUAUCUCACAAUUUGACCAAGAUGCAUUUUGUAUAGAAACAUAGUAAUAGCACCAAAAAAAUAAAAGAAACCCUGUCCGUUUUUAAAUAAUUAGUACGACAUUCUAAUUAAUAUAAUUAUAACAUUAGGACAUUCAUCGCUCACCUGGAUGUCGUAAUAACCGUACGAUAUCCCCAUUAAUAAACAACAUUACACGUAUUUAGAAGUAGGGUCAUAUAUACUUUAGCAGCACGUGUUCACAUAUCCACCGUACCGUCGAGCAGGGCCAAUACAGAACGUGUUAACGCGAUCAGUAAAUUGCUGAUUUAUAACCGGUUCCCGUGUGGGGUUUUCAUAUUCUUAUCAUUAACGGGGUAAGCUAUUACGGCCUUUCGACCUUUCAGAGGACGAGACAUUUCGAAUGCUCCAUGUUAAUUAUGACCUUUAGGGGAGUCCAAGACGCUCUCUAUAUGGGUGAACGUAAACCCAGGGCAGGGCCAGAUCACGUGACAAAUUCCGGGAGCUUGAUUACGUUCGGCUCUACUUGUCCUGAAUUCGUUUAAGGUUAUUUGGGCCCUCUAGGUUAUUAUCCUUUUGUCCUGUCCAACAGACUUUUGGAGCCAUCAACACGUGUACAGGAAUAACGUUUCCAAGUUUAACGUGGAAUUCUAUAAUAGAGAAUUUAAUUCUUACUGUAGGUAUUUUAAUUGCUUCUUACUUACAUUACAGAUAAUUUAGCUCAAAAGAAGAUACUGUUUGAGGCUUCUGAUAUAUACGUAGAUUUUAACUGUAUGACCUUGUUGAAACUUAGUAGCACUCUGUACAAGCAAGCUACGAGCUAAUGAAAAGAAUAACUUCGACUUCUCAAUCCAUCAAAAGAGAUCAUUGCAGUAUUUUAAAUUAAUAAACUGAACCACUAUGGUAUUGUAAAGAACAUUAAUAAACAACUUAUAGACAUAUUCAGUGAUAUUUCAUUAUAAAAAAAAAAAAAAAAAAAAAA